AUCGAACGCUGGCGGCAUGCCUUACACAUGCAAGUCGAACGGCAGCACGGGGCAACCUGGUGGCGAGUGGCGAACGGGUGAGUAAUGCAUCGGAACGUACCUUUCAGUGGGGGAUAACGUAGCGAAAGUUACGCUAAUACCGCAUAUUCUGUGAGCAGGAAAGCAGGGGAUCGCAAGACCUUGCGCUGAUUGAGCGGCCGAUGUCAGAUUAGCUAGUUGGUGAGGUAAAGGCUCACCAAGGCGACGAUCUGUAGCGGGUCUGAGAGGAUGAUCCGCCACACUGGCACUGAGACACGGUCCAGACUCCGACGGGAGGCAGCAGUGGGGAAUUGUGGAAAAUGGGGGCAACCCUGAUCCAGCCAUGCCGCGUGAGUGAAGAAGACCUUCGGGUUGUAAAGCUCUUUCGGCCGAGAAGAAAUCGCACGGGCUAAUACCCUGUGUGGAUGACGGUACCGGAAUAAGAAGCACCGGCUAACUACGGGCCAGCCGCCGCGGUAAAAC
rnacentral:rRNA from 1 species